rnacentral:rRNA from 1 species
GACGAACGCUGGCGGCGUGCUUGACACAUGCAAGUCGAACGGAAAGGCCUGCUUUCCCUUGUGGAUUGCGGGUACUCGAGUGGCGAACGGGUGAGUAACACGUGAGUGAUCUGCCCCCAACUUGGGUAUAAGCCUGGGAAACUGGGUCUAAUUCCCGAUAGGACUGCAGGGUGGUGCCUGUGGUGGAAAACGAUUUUCUAGUGGUUGGGGAUGAGCUCGCGGCCUAUCAGCUUGUUGGUGGGGUAAUGGCCUACCAAGGCGGCGACGGGUAGCCGGCCUGAGAGGGUGGACGGCCACAUUGGGACUGAGAUACGGCCCAGACUCCUACGGGAGGCAGCAGUGGGGAAUAUUGCACAAUGGGCGGAAGCCUGAUGCAGCGACGCCGCGUGGGGGAUGACGGCCUUCGGGUUGUAAACUCCUUUCGACUGCGAGGAAGCCACCUGGUUGGAAGGGUGGUGACGGUAGUGGUAGAAGAAGCACCGGCUAACUACGUG